AACGCACCUUGCGCCGUCUGGUAUUCCGGACGGCAUGCCUGUUUGAGUGUCAUGAAAACACACACCAAGGAGUUUUCCUUGGACGUGGAAUUGGGCGCUGGCUUUUGCCUCGCCUUAAAUAUGUUAGUGGCAUUACCGACCGUAGCGUAAUAAGUUUCGCUGCCUAAGGCGAGGGCUGCUCAUAACCCUUUUAUAUCUAUACAAGACCUCAGAUCAGGUAGGACUACCCGCUGAACUUAA
rnacentral:misc_RNA from 1 species